GACGAACGCUGGCGGCGUGCCUAACACAUGCAAGUCGAACGGGGUCCAUGGGAGCUUGCUCCCGGAAGACCUAGUGGCGAACGGGUGAGUAACACGUGAGAAACUCGCCCUGGAGUGGGGAAUAACUCGGGGAAACUCGAGCUAAUACCGCAUACCCUCGGAUGGUCGCAUGGCCGACCGAGGAAAGAUUCAUCGCUUCAGGAGGGUCUCGCGGCCUAUCAGCUAGUUGGUGGGGUAACGGCCUACCAAGGCAACGACGGGUAGCUGGUUUGAGAGAACGAUCAGCCACACUGGGACUGAGACACGGCCCAGACUCCUACGGGAGGCAGCAGUGGGGAAUCUUGCGCAAUGGGCGAAAGCCUGACGCAGCAACGCCGCGUGCGGGAUGACGGCCUUCGUGGUUGUAAACCGCUUUCAGCAGGGACGAAAAUGACGGUACCUGCAGAAGAAGCCCCGGCUAACUACGUG
rnacentral:rRNA from 1 species